GGGAAGGUAGCUCAGUGGUAGAGUGCUUGCCUUGCAUGCAUGAGGUCCUGGGUUCCAUUCCUCAGCACCA
rnacentral:tRNA from 1 species